GUUUACAUCACAUGAUAAGACAUUUUAUUUCAAGAAGUACUUCUGUUGUAACAAUUAUGAACAGCAUGCAACUGGAUGUCAACACUGUUCAAUUGGUUUCACUUCUUCUGAUGGUUCUCCAUGUCUUCCAUGUCCGGGAGGUUUUUUCGGUUUCCGAUGUGCGGAGAAAUGUGAUUGUCAUCAAGAUCAAAGAUGUGAUACUGUGAAAGGCUGUGUAAUGCUAUUGAAUACAUCAAGCAUUAGUACUGAAUAUCUACACCACGAAAAAGGAAACAUGUCUUCAAUGACAAACUCAAACUUAACAGGCGAUGCUCUGAAACAGGGAAAGCUGGAUAG